rnacentral:rRNA from 1 species
AUUGAACGCUGGCGGCAUGCCUUACACAUGCAAGUCGAACGGCAGCACGGGAGCAAUCCUGGUGGCGAGUGGCGAACGGGUGAGUAAAGUAUCGGAACGUGCCCAGUCGUGGGGGAUAACGUAGCGAAAGUUACGCUAAUACCGCAUACGAUCUAUGGAUGAAAGCGGGGGAUCGCAAGACCUCGCGCGAUUGGAGCGGCCGAUAUCAGAUUAGGUAGUUGGUGAGGUAAAGGCUCACCAAGCCGACGAUCUGUAGCUGGUCUGAGAGGACGACCAGCCAAGCUGGGACUGAGACACGGCCCAGACUCCUACGGGAGGCAGCAGUGGGGAAUUUUGGACAAUGGGCGCAAGCCUGAUCCAGCAAUGCCGCGUGCAGGAUGAAGGCCUUCGGGUUGUAAACUGCUUUUGUACGGAACGAAACGGUGAGCUCUAAUACAGUUUGCUAAUGACGGUACCGUAAGAAUAAGCACCGGCUAACUACGUGCCAGCCGCCGCAGUAA